CCUCCUCCUCCUCCUCCUCACAGGCGUUUCAACAACUCGUCGGGUCGAACUUUUUAGCGUCGGCGUUGAAGCGAAACAGGUGCUCUCCGGUUUCUUCCUCCAACCAAAGACUUCCUCUGCUCCAUCUUCCUUUCCUAACUUUGUACUUUUAUUUUAUUUUAUUUUAUUUGAGUUGAGAUUUGCACGGUUUGCUCUGCGGCUCGUGAAAACAGGAGAAUUGUGCUUUUUGUUUUGGAGCGGACACGAGUCUCGUCACGUUUUCGGCACCUUCCAGCUUCGUUUGGGUUUUUGUGGCUGCAGCUUCUUUUUAAAAGAGUUCAUCCAGAUUUUAUGUUUUAAAGCAGGCAGGUUUUAUGUUCUUGUUGAGGUCAGGAGUUUGUAAGUGGAGCCACACUAACGGGUCAAACAGAACCGAGGUGAUAGUUCRGACUGCAGAUGUGGACCCGGUACAGAUCUGCACUCGGAGCUAAAUUCAGUUUGAUGUUUUACCUGCGAGUCGAARCAUCUUGAUUCAAACUUGAUUUGAUCAGAAUCACUGCUGGUUCAGUUUUUUUGUCCGACUGCAGGAAAAUAAGGAAAAUAAAUUCAUUAAAUCAAUUUUUUGUCGACGGAAAUAGGAAAGGAAGCGUCCGUGUUUGGGUUCUGUUACAGCUUCCUGUUACUGGAGCGUGGGCUCGGCUCGGUUCUGAAGCUGCAGCAAAGAUCGCAGGUUUUUCUUCUUCUUCUCUUCGUGGGGCUGAACGAGAUCCAAGAUGCUGUCGUUAAACAUGAAUGUAAAUGAACUUUUAUGCAUUUUUUUUUUCUUUUUAAUAAUUCUUUGUUUUAAACCACAUUAGUUUGAAGAUGUUGCUGUAAAUGAAGCCUGGACCAGAAGCGUUUUAUUUUAUUUGUGUGUUUUUGUUGUUGUUUUUUUUUCGGAUGCGUACGGUGCGAUGAACUCCGGAGGCCUGUUUCUGCCCGGCGACACCAGCAGAUUAAAAACUAUUAACGACAAUCUGGCACAAAUAGAUAAAAAGCUCAUUUUUAACUUCCUCGCCCCACAGGAACGGUCCUCCGCACGAGUCCGGUGUGAUUGUAAAAUAUUUGUUCAGGUAGAGGAUGAGCAGCGCCGUGUUUUAUCGCAGCAUGCAGUGGAGCUUCUUAUUUAAUUAUCUGUUCGGGUUUUUUUUUUUUUUUUUGUAUUUUAAACUUUUGCUUUGGAACCAAACGGCCGAGGUUUAAAGCACACAGAGACACGUUUGGGAUGUUUGUGUGAGCGUGCACGCUGCGCCUGCUGUGUGAGCGUGCACGCUGCGCCCGCUGUGUGAGCGUGCACGCUGCGCCCGCUGUGUGAGCGUGCACGCUGCGCCUGCUGUGUGAGCGUGCACGCUGCGCCUGCUGUGUGAGCGUGCACGCUGCGCCCGCUGUGUGAGCGUGCACGCUGCGCCUGCUGUGUGAGCGUGCACGCUGCGCCUGCUGUGUGAGUGCUGGGUUUGUUAUUUAAAGCGCCGCUCGCUCUGACGUGAGGCUGAUGUUUUAUUUUAACGCUGUUUGACAAUGAAUUACUCUGCACUUAACCCUGUUUCUGUCUUUCUUUGGCUUGGAGAGGAAACUCCAGCUGCCUAAAGGUUACAACGACCAGACUGUGGAGUCAGUGUCUUACCUGCAGCAGACAGACGAGUCACCAGGAGCUGAUCUGUUUUUUACAGCAGCGGUUCAAACAGAUUCAGCUCAGGGCUCAAAAACCAGCAGGUUGUGACAAAUUAAAGAUUUAACACGACUCCCUUUGAACAAAAAGAGACUUCCAGCAGAACCAGAACCAGAUCCAGGCUCAGGUUGAGCAGCCAGCUGUCCCCACUCACUGGGGUCAGAGAGGACAGGAACGAGACAAAAACUAUGCAGAAUGACUGGUCCAGGAGGGGCUCCCAUGGUCCAGGACUAGUGUUUGUGGUUCCAGACUAGUUUGUCAUGAUCCAGGACUGAUUUCUAAUGGUACAGGACUAGUUUUUUGGUCCCAAACUAGUUUAUAAUGAUCUAGGGCUAGUUUAUUAUGGUCCUGGUCUAGUUUCUCAUGAUCCAGRACUAGUUUCUCAUGAUCCAGGACUAGUUUCACAUGGUCCAGGACUAGUUUCUCAUGAUCCAGGGCUAGUUUUCCAUGGUCCAUGAGUGAUUUAUCUAAUCCAGGACUAGUUUCUCAUGGUCCAGGACUAGUUUUUGUGGUCCCAGACUAAUUUCUUAUUAUCCAGGACUAAUUUCUUAUUAUCCAGGACUAGUUUCCAUGAUCCAGGACUAGUUCAUUAUGAUCCAGGACUAGUUUUUCAUGGUCCAGGACUAGUUUCUCAUGAUCCAGGACUAGUUUAUGUGGUCCCAGACUAGUUUCACAUGAUUCAGUACUAGAUUUUGUGGUGUCAAACUAGUUUUUCAUGGUCCAGGUCUAGUUUUUCAUGGUCCAGGUGUAGUUUCUGUGGUCCAGGUCUAGUUUUCCUUGGUCCAGGUGUAGUUUCUGUGGUCCAGGUCUAGUUUUUCAUGGUCCAGGUCUAGUUUUUCAUGGUCCAGGUCUAGUUUUUCAUGGUCCAGGUCUAGUUUCUGUGUUCUAGGUCUCGUUUUUCAUGGUCCAGGUCUAGUUUUUCAUGGUCCAGGUCUAGUUUUUCAUGGUCCAGGUCUAGUUUCUGUGGUCCAGGUCUAGUUUCUGUGGUCCAGGUCUAGUUUUUCAUGGUCCAGGUCUAGUUUUUCAUGGUCCAGGUCUAGUUUCUGUUGUAGAAGCUGUAGGAACCACAGGUGAUCGUGGUCUCCUCAUGAUGACCUUAGUGAUCCAACAGCAGCUUUAUUUCUUUAUUCUUCUACAGUUCAGUCAUCAAAACUUCAUCAAAACAUUUUCUCAGCUUAAAAUAUUACAAAAUAAAAGCCCAAACUUCCUGUGGAGCUUCAGAGAUAAAAGUUGUUUCAGGGUUAGUUCUUCAGUCAGGUGUGAAGAGUCUUCUGUCCCGMCUGAAGGUGGCGCUGUUGUCUCACUGUUGAUCCCUGAACAUGAAACAGCUUAUUUCUGUAAUGAAACCUAAUUCACCGAGGUUUAUUUUACUAAUGUUGUCCUGAGGUGACAUCAAAGAUCKGAGAGGGAACACAGGAGGAUGAAGGUCAGGGUUAAUAAAACCUCCAUUAGACAAUUAAAGGCAGUUUUGUUACAGAAACACUCGACAUGAAAGAAGAAAAUCAACAGAUUUAGUUUGCUGCUUUCAUCCUGUAAAAAGCAGAAAAUUACUCUAAAAUAACCGAACUUCAGGCAGCAGGAGGAUAAUCUUCCUCCUCAGAUGUGUGAUGAUCCUCCUGCACCUCAGACCAACAACCUGCAGAUCUUCUCCUCAAUCCUAAAAGCUGCUCUGAGCUCAGGGACCCGUCCACAGCUGCAGCCUCUCGCACACAUUUCCUCCACGGAGGAAACAAAGCUGCUGAUGCGGAACGAGGGAGGAGGAAACGUGACACCUCCUUCUGACACUCAACAGUUGUUCUGAGCCGCGAGAAAACUCCAGAACAUCGUUAACGUUAGCUUCAUUAAUGAGCAUCUGCUGCGAGUCUGCAGGGCGCCAAACAUUACUCUGCAGAAACAGGUGGGCUGACUCAUGACUCGGCAAAAAUAAUUAAACAUUUCUAUGGAGAUAAAUUAGAGCUUUAAAGUUUGAAAGAAAAAAUUUGAAACUGAAAAUUUCAAAACUUAAAAAAAAAAAAAAGCCAGAACCAGACGAGGAAAAAUAAACUAGAAUCAGUUCUUUUAACUUUUUUUGAUUUUAUUAAUCCAAUUUUAUUUGGCCCCAUAAUGUUUAAAAAAUUUAAACCGCUAAAAAUAAAAACGCUAAGAUGACUGUCAGACUGGUGGGCACAAACCUGUUAGUUUUCUAUUGGUUUAAUUUGAAGGUGGGCGGGAUCAUCUGUGGCAGUUGGCCAAUCAGAAGGUAUAACUCAAACGUCGACCCUUUCAGAAUAAAAGCAUUUCUAGAUGGUUUGUGUUUUUAUAAAUACAAUUUAAAGUUAGUCAAACACUUUAUCUACCAUACAUACUCAUGUAUUUGUUAUAUUGUUAAAUGUUAUUUUAGUUCUUUUUGAAGUUCCGUUUGAAGUUUAGCUGCUAAAGAUGCUACCUGCUAACAGUGACUGACGUCCAGCACUGUUUGUAAGAGUUUUUUUUUUAUUGACGAAUGGCGUAAAAAUUGUUUUAUGGUUUA